UCCCCAGGGCGCGGGCAGCGGCUGCCAGAGUCCGAUCGUGGCCGCACGAAUUAUGAGAGCCGCCGGUCUGAGUGCGCGCACGGCGCUGGCUCUGCUGCUGCUGGCCGGGGCCGGGCUGUCGGCCGCCGCCUCGUCCCCCGCGCCGCCUCUCUUCAACGUGAGCCUGGACGCGGCCCCCGAGCUGCGCUGGCUGCCAACGCUGCAGCACUUCGACCGCGACUUCUUGCGCGCCGCUAUGGCGCGUAUCAUCGGGGAUAAUGUCCCCAAGUGGGUCCUCGCAUUGAUCCGAAAGGCGGUCUGGGAGCUGGAGCUCUUCCUGCCCCAGCCCUUCACCGACGAGAUCCGCGGCCAGUGCGACGCCCUGAACUUCAACCUGGCCGACUGCAUCCUCCUUAACCUGGCCUACGAGUCCACCGCAUUCUGCACCAGUAUUGUGGCUCAGGACUCCAAAGGCAACGUUUAUCAUGGCCGGAAUCUGGAUUACUCUUUUGGAAAUUUCUUACGCAAUUUGACAGUGGAUGUGCAGUUCAUAAAGAAUGGGCAGAUCGCCUUCACAGGAACCACCUUUAUUGGCUACGUAGGAUUAUGGACCGGUCAGAGUCCACACAAGUUUACCGUUUCUGGCAACGAACGAGAUAAAGGCUGGUGGUGGGAGAAUAUGAUUGCUGCCCUUUUUCAGAGACACUCACCGGUCAGCUGGCUUAUCCGCACUACCCUGAGUGAAUCAGAAAACUUUGAAGCAGCUGUUUACAAAUUGGCCAAGACUCCCCUUAUUGCUGACGUUUAUUACAUUGUUGGUGGCACAUCCCCCCGGGAGGGAGUGGUCAUCACAAGGAACAGAGACGGCCCAGCAGACAUAUGGCCUCUAGAUCCUUUAAAUGGAGCGUGGUUCCGAGUUGAGACAAAUUAUGACCAUUGGAAGCCAGUGCCUAAGAGAGAUGACCGAAGAACACCUGCCAUCAAAGCUCUUAAUGCCACGGGCCAGGCAAACCUCAGCCUGGAGACGCUCUUUCAGGUUUUGUCAGUGUUUCCAGUUUAUAACAACUACACAGUUUAUACUACGGUAAUGAGUGCUGCCAGCCCAGACAAGUACAUGACUAGGAUCAGAAACCCGAGUUAAAAGCAGAAGAGUGAAUUCACCUAUGCUAUGAAGGUUCCUUCUUCCUUUUGUCAGCAAACAAUUCACUCUUCCUUGGACCUGCUAUCUGCGUCCUGCAGAAACAUUACACUUACGCUAUGGGAAGCGGCGCCUCAACCCAACAUCAUUUUGCUUUCCAGAAUGCAGAGAAAGUUAUCAUCUAGUUCAUCUCUUUUUCCGGAUGAGGACACUGAGGCCCAGAAAGUUGACUUGCCUGAGGCCACAUCGCUGGUCAGGGCAGUUCCAGGCCCAGAACCAGACUCCUGACAUCCUGUCUAUUGUUGCAGUAUCAGAAUGUCCUCCCCACCCUCUGACCCCUGCAUCAUC